UACUUGUCAGGAGUUUCAGAAAGUAUCAGUAAUUCAAACCAAUUAUCAAAUAGAUAUUAGGAAUUCCAAAAGCACUGAAGAAUUACCAAGUUUGUUGGCAUAAUUACUAGGAUUGGAACAACUACUAACUCCUGAAACUAUCAGUAAUUCAAACAAAUUAUCAAAUAUAUUGAUAUAUGAAGUUAUUAGGAGUUCCAAAAACAUUGAAUAAUUACCAAAUACGCUGGCAUUGGAAAACUACUAACUCUUUUCCAACAACUAUGUCAACCGUUCACUAAAAUUGAUAGCCAAAGCAUAGGUGACAUUUGGUAAAACUCAAAGUUCACGCUGAAAAAUUAAACACCA
rnacentral:lncRNA from 1 species